CCCCACCCCCACCCCCACCCUGCCACAGCUUCGGGACGACUGGAUCGCCGCGCCUGGGCCGGAGCGAGCCAUCUGCGGGCACUAUGCAAAGCGGGAGACGGCGCGAGCGGCGCCCGGCUCACACUAGCUCUUCCAGGACGCAGAGAGAACCAUUCUCUGCUUUCAAUAGGACAGAAGAGCUCCUUGGCACUGGAUGCCUCCGGGUCUGGUUGAGAGAGGAAUGGUUAGGAGACUGUUCUGAGGAUACGCAGACAUCAUCCAAAGCUUCCUACAUUCAGAUGAGGACAGAGGUUGGGCCAGAGCUUUGUAAGCUUGUUACCUAAGGAUGGUUCUGACCAUGUAAGCAGAUCACAGAAGAGCCAGCCUUGACAAUGUGCUGAUGGCAACCU
ensembl:lncRNA PROX1-AS1 PROX1 antisense RNA 1